AUACUCUGGUUUCUCUUCAGAUCGUAUAAAUCUUUCGCCUUUUACUAAAGAUUUCCGUGGAGAGGAACAGUUAUGAGUCUUUAACCAAUUUUUUGAUGCCUCGGUUUUCCGGGGCU
rnacentral:snRNA from 1 species